UACAGAGGUCUCAAGCGUUGUUCGGAUUCAUUGGGCGUAAAGGGUGCGUAGGCGGCUUUCUAAGUCAGGGGUGAAAUCCUGGAGCUCAACUCCAGAACUGCCUUUGAUACUGGAGGGCUUGAGUCCGGAAGAGGUGAGUGGAACUCCGAGUGUAGAGGUGAAAUUCGUAGAUAUUCGGAAGAACACCAGUGGCGAAGGCGGCUCACUGGUCCGGUACUGACGCUGAUGUGCGAAAGCGUGGGGAGCAAACAGGAGUUAG
rnacentral:rRNA from 1 species